rnacentral:rRNA from 1 species
GACGAACGCUGGCGGCGUGCUUAACACAUGCAAGUCGAACGGGUCUGCCCUGUUUUUUGCGGGGUGGGUCAGUGGCGAACGGGUGAGUAACACGUGAGUAACCUGCCCCUCACUUCUGGAUAACCGCUUGAAAGGGUGGCUAAUACGGGGUGUUCUGGCUGUGCCGCAUGGUGUGGCUGGGAAAGAUUCACUUUUGUGGUGUUUUGGUGGGGGAUGGGCUCGCGGCCUAUCAGCUUGUUGGUGGGGUGAUGGCCUGCCAAGGCUUUGACGGGUAGCCGGCCUGAGAGGGUGGGCGGUCACACUGGGACUGAGAUACGGCCCAGACUCCUGCGGGAGGCAGCAGUGGGGGGUAUUGCACAAUGGGCGGAAGCCUGAUGCAGCGACGUCGCGUGAGGGAUGGAUGCCUUCGGGUUGUGAACCUCUUUCGCCGGUGAAGAAGGUCCUGCUCUUUGUGGUGGGGUUGACGGUAGCCGGGUUAUGAAGCGCCGGCUAACUACGUG